UGGGGAAUAUUGCACAAUGGGCGCAAGCCUGAUGCAGCAACGCCGCGUGAACGAUGAAGGUCUUCGGAUCGUAAAGUUCUGUUGCAGGGGAAGAUAAUGACGGUACCCUGUGAGGAAGCCCCGGCUAACUACGUGCCAGCAGCCGCGGUAAUACGUAGGGGGCUAGCGUUAUCCGGAUUUACUGGGCGUAAAGGGUGCGUAGGUGGUCUUUCAAGUCGGUGGUUAAAGGCUACGGCUCAACCGUAGUUAGCCUCCGAAACUGGAAGACUUGAGAGCAGGAGAGGAAAGUGGAAUUCCCAGUGUAGCGGUGAAAUGCGUAGAUAUUGGGAGGAAAACCAGUAGAGAAGGCGGCUUUCUGGACUGCAACUGACACUGAGGCACGAAAGCGUGGGUAGCAAACAGG
rnacentral:rRNA from 1 species